GGGUUGUGAGGUUAAGCGACUAAGCGUACACGGUGGAUGCCCUGGCAGUCAGAGGCGAUGAAGGACGUGCUAAUCUGCGAUAAGCGUCGGUGAGGUGAUAUGAACCGUUAUAACCGGCGAUUUCCGAAUGGGGAAACCCAGUGUGUUUCGACACACUAUCAUUAACUGAAUCCAUAGGUUAAUGAGGCGAACCGGGGGAACUGAAACAUCUAAGUACCCCGAGGAAAAGAAAUCAACCGAGAUUCCCCCAGUAGCGGCGAGCGAACGGGGAGGAGCCCAGAGCCUGAAUCAGUGUGUGUGUUAGUGGAAGCGUCUGGAAAGGCGCGCGAUACAGGGUGACAGCCCCGUACACAAAAAUGCACAUGCUGUGAGCUCGAUGAGUAGGGCGGGACACGUGGUAUCCUGUCUGAAUAUGGGGGGACCAUCCUCCAAGGCUAAAUACUCCUGACUGACCGAUAGUGAACCAGUACCGUGAGGGAAAGGCGAAAAGAACCCCGGCGAGGGGAGUGAAAAAGAACCUGAAACCGUGUACGUACAAGCAGUGGGAGCCUCUUUAUGGGGUGACUGCGUACCUUUUGUAUAAUGGGUCAGCGACUUAUAUUCUGUAGCAAGGUUAACCGAAUAGGGGAGCCGAAGGGAAACCGAGUCUUAACUGGGCGUUAAGUUGCAGGGUAUAGACCCGAAACCCGGUGAUCUAGCCAUGGGCAGGUUGAAGGUUGGGUAACACUAACUGGAGGACCGAACCGACUAAUGUUGAAAAAUUAGCGGAUGACUUGUGGCUGGGGGUGAAAGGCCAAUCAAACCGGGAGAUAGCUGGUUCUCCCCGAAAGCUAUUUAGGUAGCGCCUCGUGAAUUCAUCUCCGGGGGUAGA
rnacentral:rRNA from 1 species